UUGAGCUGCUGUUCUAAUGGUGUAAAAGCUUUCGAUAGGAUUCAUCAGGCCAUGAUUUGGAACUCCAAAAUAAAGGUCAUGCAUUUCGCAAUAGGGUUCCCUUAGUUGAAACCAGCAAUGAAAAAAUUGUAUCCAGGUCAAGACAAUGGAGAGCUGACGACUAUACUAUGAGGUAUUCGGAAAGGACUUUCUUUUACAUGAGCAGAUUUGUGAAGACGAAGACUGAGGGCUAAGUAACAGAUACAAACUUGAAAUUAUGUGCAAAAGUAGUUAGAGAGACCUGGAUGGAGAAACACCAGAAGAGGAGAUGAAAAACUCUCUGUAGAAGAUGAAGUUAUUCGAUUUUUCAGACUCCCCAGUGGGGUUGUUAAGUUCCAACAUAUGCUUCCUAUUUACUAAUCUCUAAUGCAGUUAAUAAAAAAAAAAUCUGAUUACUGGGUCUAAAAUGUUCAAACUGCUUUCAUUAUGUAGCAGUAAGUUCAUCAGAUGUUUGCAGAACCAUGAGGGAUUGAGGGGCCUUAUUUCAUAGAAGUUGGAAUUUGAACUAAAGAAGGUAUCCGUGAGAGAAGUACUUGUUUCCAACUGUUAUAGGUCAGCAAAUGGUGCAACAACAUCUGACAUUGAAGAGUAGGAGGUGGGUUCUAAGAUAUCUAAACAAGGUUUCUCUCAACAACCUCACUAUAUUAAAGCAGUCUCUGAGAAUUCUGGGGCUAUAGCAACAUUUCAAGAUUCUGCAAAUGAAACUACUUCGCACUCAAACUAGAAGGGCAUGUGUACUAUCAAUAUGAUGUUACCUCGGGAUCAAAGGUAAAGAAGUCAGCAGGUAAGUGUCUCUUUUUGUUCAUUCAUCCACGUAUCAAAAGACACAGUAGUAGCACAACUAGUAUUCUCGUCUCUUAAGGUGUAAGUGCAAAACAGAAGUGGAAAAUUCAUAGUUCAGCACUGCUCUCAUCUUUUGUUUGAUCAUUGCCAUUAGUAGGCACACUCUUUUUGCAACUUCUAAAAUGUCACAUCAUUGUCAUUGUCUGAGUUUUUGCCCUUGACGAGAUUGAACAACGAUAUGAGCUUCGAAGACAAAGAAACAAGAGGAGAACUGGCUCUGAAGCAGUAACGGAGAAGCUUUCCUUAGACCUGAAGAUCAUGCCAUUGAGACUUAGAACAUAGAAAAUCAAGGAACCUCUUAAACAAGUCUUCUUGUUUUAGGUCCAAGAGAGACUCACUAGUGUAUGCUCAUUCCCAUAGUAGAAACGGUUGAGCUUCUUGGUGAAAAUCAUAUGUAGUCUUGUAAUGGUAUGAUCUUAUUGGAAGUUUGGAACUAACAAGUUCAAGAACACAUGUAACUUUGUACUGUUCAACACCUAUGUUUGUAAAUAUAUAAAUGUUUGUGUUUCUUCA